UGCUGAUCAUGUAGGCAUCCCAUUCUGACCUCAUCAGGCAUUUCAGACAAUGGCCAGGCAUUUGCAGGGAGCUUCAUGGCCAGUUAUGAUACUUGAACAAGGAUAUGGGCCAGCAAAGGGAAACAUGGCUCCGAAUUGAGCAGAAUGCAUGGAAACAUCUGGAAUCAGCCAAGCAAGUCUUCUAAAAAUGCAAAGGAGUGUGGUGAUUUGAAGGGGAAAAGAUGAAACGAUGAAGAUAGAUGUUGGCUUUUCAGCUGACACUCAUAUAAAAGGAGAUAAAAUUGUGGUUUAGAGGUCAGAUUUGGAAAGGAGAUAAAAGAAGCUGUGGCCAGAGGCAGUGGCAUUUUACUAGUAAUGAGGAGCUCUGGGAAUGGGAGAAGAGAGGCACAUCUAUUACGCUGCUUUCCAGGAACCAGUUGGAAGACAGAUACAAGAAACUUGGAGAGUCAUGUUGGCUGUGGGAUUCUGGAGGAAGUGGUCCAAAAAAGCUGUUCAUUUUGUCCUCAGCCUACAAAUGAUUGAAAACAUUUUUAAGUGCUCAGUCCAGCCUUAGUAAUUUCAUUUGUUUAUUCUCAGAAAGAAUGUCUGUGCCAUUGCUCCACAAAAAUUCUGAGGGUGGUGCCCAAUCAAAUGGCUGAAACAAUAUAAAAUAUUGGGUGGAAUUCACAAUCAGCGUUAUGAAUGCCUCAUCUAGAGUAAUACCGUCAUCAAUCAUUCAUAUUCUUGAUCCCUACAUAUUCAAUACUUUAGGAAAUACAGAGGGAUCAUGAAAUCACCAGGCCUGACUUAUCAGGCAGCACUUGCUGUGAGCA